rnacentral:rRNA from 1 species
AUUGAACGCUGGCGGCAGGCCUAACACAUGCAAGUCGAGCGAGCGGCGGACGGGUGAGUAAUGUAUGGGGACUGCCCGAUAGAGGGGGAUAAAUACUGGAAAGGGUGGCUAAUACCGUAUACUAUCGGAUCACACAUAUGGGGUUAGCUAGUAUGUGGGGGAAAGGCUCCCCUAGGCGACGAUCUCUAGCUGGUCUGAGAGGAUGAUCAGCCACACUGGGACUGGGACACGGCCCAAACGCCUACGGAGGCUGCAGGGGGGAAUAUUUCCCAAUGGGCGCAAGCCUGGUGCCGCCAAGCCGCGGGUAUGAAGAAGGCCUUAGGGUUUGAAAGUACUUUCAGCGGGGGAGCGUUACCCGCAGGAGAAACACCGGCUAACUCCGUGCCAGCAGCCGCGGUAAUUC